UCAAUAUAAAAAAUUGUCAAACCUAAUAAAAUAAACUGUGAAUACAAAGAAAAAGAAAGGCCCACAGUCCAGCCAACAUUUUGUAAAUUGUAGCUCAUGUGAAGCAGGUUACUGCAAGCGCAGGAUCAUGAGAUCUCAGUAGGAUUGUGAUCACUGGAGGGAGGGAGGGAGGGAGGGAGAGGGGGGAUCCAAGGAGGUGGGACCAUCGAGAGGGGAACCACCAGAAGAGUUGCCAUCUGAGAGAAGCAGGCAGCUUAAGUCCAAGCUUCUCCCCUCUCCAGGAACAGCCUCAAGGAACCUUAACGGGAUUCUGAUUGGCUACACCUUUUCUGACGUCGUGCAUUCUUGCCGGUUGGGCAAAUUGUUCAAUCAAGGCGCCCAGGGGCAUCAUUGGGGAACCACGUGCGAUAUUAUUUUUUUGGCACCGCUGUACUCAACUCCCCGGAUCUGCUCCCGAGAGAGGCCUUAGCUGGCUCCGUCGCUCUGCAAAUUUCGGUCAUCACAAGACCCCUCAAGAGGGCGCCUGGAUAUCACGGAAGCAAGGAAAUGAUCUUGCUGCUGCUGAGUGUGGGCACCAGAAGAUCAUGGAAAAACUCCACCUUGAGACUCCGACCAACACUGCUUGGCACCCAGUGCUUACCUCAUCAAUGAACAUGUACUCCCAUUUUGCCACUAAAGCUCUAUGGAGAAGUUCCACAGCCACCAUAGCCUUCAGAAUGAAAUUAGAAAUGCUAAGGGGCCACUGUCAUCACCAAGCCAAAGAAUAAAGGUAAGGAGGUAAAUAAAGCCACAGAGAUUAGAACA
rnacentral:lncRNA from 1 species